GUGCUCGCUUCGGCAGCAUAUAUACUAAAACUGGAAUGAUACAGAAGAUUAGCAUGGCCCAUGUGCCAGGAUGACAUGCAAAUUUGUGAAGCAUUACAUAUUUUU